rnacentral:tRNA from 1 species
GGUAGUGUGGCGGAGCAGUCUAAAGCGCUGGAUUAAAACUCCAGUCUCUUCGGGGACGUGUGUUCGAAUUCCACCGCUGCCA